rnacentral:rRNA from 1 species
GACGAACGCUGGCGGCGUGCUUAACACAUGCAAGUCGAACGGAAAGGCCCUGCUUUUGUGGGGUGCUCGAGUGGCGAACGGGUGAGUAACACGUGAGUAACCUGCGCUUGACUUUGGGAUAACUUCAGGAAACUGGGGCUAAUACCGGAUAGGAGCUCCUGCUGCAUGGUGUGGGUUGGAAAGUUUCGGCGGUUGGGGAUGGACUCGCGGCUUAUCAGCUUGUUGGUGGGGUAGUGGCUUACCAAGGCUUUGACGGGUAGCCGGCCUGAGAGGGUGACCGGCCACAUUGGGACUGAGAUACGGCCCAGACUCCUACGGGAGGCAGCAGUGGGGAAUAUUGCACAAUGGGCGGAAGCCUGAUGCAGCAACGCCGCGUGCGGGAUGACGGCCUUCGGGUUGUAAACCGCUUUCGCCUGUGACGAAGCGUGAGUGACGGUAAUGGGUAAAGAAGCACCGGCUAACUACGUG